rnacentral:lncRNA from 1 species
CCUGAGAAGGAUAGCACAGUCUUAUCCAUGCAAGUGUGAUAUAAGGAGAAGAUAGAAAACCACACCACUCGGAGCCAUUUGUGAGCAAUAUGCGAGUGUCUCAGAGAGGGAGAUAGGUGGUACGUUUAUGUAGGGAAGAGGGUGGUGGUGGGAUGGUCUUCCAGGACGAUUACUUGCGGAAGUAUCAACCGCUCAUGAGGUUUAUUACCGGAGGUGGCCGUGAAGGGCUCUUCUCCG